CAGUGAGUACCAACGGAAAAGAAUGAAAGAAAUGAAUAAUUUCGUCUGUCCAACCACAAAACAAUGCGGUUUAAGAUCCCACACUGUUUCAUAUUUACGAGUAUCUAUGUAUCUGCAUUUGCCACCAAAAUAUAUCUUAAAGAAGAUGGUUUUUGAUUUUGACGGUUUUAUUUUUUAUUGCGCUUUUAAUAGUCUGUCGGUUUUUUACCGUGAGUCACAACUGUAACUAGUAUCAAUAAGUCGCCAGCACAGUGAUUUCAGUACAGGGAUGGAGAAUUAACUACUAUUAUACUUCAUUUAGUUCACUUUACGCUUCUAUAAAUAAAUUUGAAUUAUGCAAAGUU